GGCGGAGGCGCGCUCAGUGGGCAGAGGUCCAAGGCAAAGCCUUGGGCAGCCGGCUGAGGAGUCAGAUCUGUUCGCGGUAGGCAUCCAGCAGGCGGAGGCUUGCGUGUCGAGACCCCACCAGGUCUUCUCUGGUGGAUUCUGUUAAAUAAUUGGACUCUGGAAUAUCCAGGUUCUUGUAAUUUAUUCCUCAUAGAAAUUCCCCGAGGAUUCAUUCUGAUUUUUUUUCUUGGGUACCGGGCAUCGAACUCAGGACCUUGUGCUUGUAAGGUAGGUGGGGGCACCAUUGAGC
rnacentral:lncRNA from 1 species